UUGUGAGGAGAGCUCAGCUUGUCAUUGCUGGCUUGAAAAAUGAAGGAAACUAUAAACCAAGGAAAGCAGGCUUUCCUUAGAUGAUGGAGAAGGCAAGAAAAGGAAUUCUCAUUUAGAGCCUCCAGAAGGAGGGGAGUUCUGCCAGCAUCUUGAUUUCACGGGAGGUUUCUGACCUACGGGACUUCAAGGCUCCAUGCUCAGCUCAGAGCUUGACAUGGCUCGUGAGGCAGGGUUCCAUCUUACAACCCAGGAUCAUGACAUGAGCCAAAAUCAAGAAUGGGACACUCAGCUAACUGAACCACCCAGGUGACCCAAGAAAAUGAAGAUUCUUAGACUCCAAAGUGGGACCAUGACAAGGAGACGUGUGGUCGGUCUAUGGCAAGCUGUUAAUCUCCGUGUAGCUACUGCUGUUGCGGGUCUGUUACUAAGCAUCUGCACACGGGCCUGGGUGCUUCAAUUUGCAAGCACACGCAAGUCAAGACGCAAUCAAUCAUUUUAAAGUUGCAACAGUGUUUUACUUACAUAGACAGUGAAAGGCAAAACAGCCCAAAGCAGGAACUCCCUUGGCUCCACACACCAGCAAGGACAACAGUGAAACAAAAGGAGCCACAUGACUGCAGUCUACAAAGUAUGCUACUCUGAUUGCCUACCUAGUCCAAGUCCUUGGGGAUUUGUGCCUGGGUCCUGAGGAGAGGGUUCUGCAGUGAAAGCCUGAAGUGCUGUUACCACCAAAAUCUCUCUAAGAAAUGAAAGUAAAAGACAAACCUACUUUGUGAAGAUUUGAUAAUCUACAGAAGGAUGGUAUUCCCCUAAAGCCAGCAGCAAGAAGGGGAGGGAGAAAAUGGUGAAUAUCAGAGGCAGGCAGAGGAAAUUGAUUCAAUUUAACAUUAGUGCCUGGAGACUUUCUGAACUAAUUUGGAAGGAUGUCAGCACCGCUAGCCCCCUCAAUUGUGAUGGUUGAUAUAAGUAGAGAGUUUUAUUGCUAUUAUAUUGUGGCUUCUGUAUCCUGAGACUUGUGUGUUAGAGAAAUUAUCCAUGCUUUUGUUUUUCAAAGUCCAGAGUGCUAACCAUUACACAAUGGGACCCCAUGCUUUUAUUUUUCUAAAAGAAUAGCUUAGGACUUAAAAUGUUAAACAUUGAAAGUAGCAUAUGAAAGCUUAAGUAGACAUUUUUACUCAAUGUUUACACCAUGUAAAUUUAUGAUUAUUAAUUAGUAGAUAAAAAUGAAGGGCAUAGUUGGUGAGCACGGGUACAACAUGUAAAUGUCUGUGAUGUAAGUGGGUGCCAACACAGCCUUUCAAUUUGAACAACAAGCUGUGUAAAUUAAGCAUAAAGUUUAGGGUUCAAACCAAAUAACUGCCUCAAAGUUAAUUAGCGUGAAUUUAACACAGAGCUGGACUUGAAAAGAAUUUUAGGCAUUAGUACAUAGAUUUUGUAGCAAUAGCUUUAGCACCAUCUAAUUGGCUAUCCCACUUCAACUAAAGAUUGACCUUAUUUUCUACAUCCAUCCCCACUCCUUGUGCUGAGAGACUGAAUGUACAACCAGACAAUACCCAGCCCAUAUACUAAAAUAGAACGUUGACCCAAGCCUGCAGCACUCAGCAGGGGAAGCCAACCUACAACCUCUGGAGCAAUUGACCCCAAAUGGUCAGGACAUGAUGGAUAACUGACAGCUUCCCUAAUCUUUUCUCUUACUUCCAACUAACCAGGAAAGCCAAGUGUACUCCCCUAAAGAAUCAUACAGGGUGUCUCACUUCUAGUUAGCCUGUCUCCAGCUUCUGCAUGUCAACAGCCUCCACUCACGGAAUAUCUGAAGCUUUCUCUUUUGUUCACUGUAUAGCUUUUACGCUCCUCGGACUGCCUGUCUUUGAGUCUCAGCUUGUAAAACCAAGUGAUGUUGGCUGCCUGCCUUGCUACAGCAAGCUCUAAAUAAACAGCCUCUGCUUAUUC